AUGGACUGGACUUGGAGAAUUCUCUUCCUGGUGACAGUGGCUGCAGGUGUGAACUCCCAGGUACAGCUGGUGCAGUCAGGGGCUGAGGUGGGAAAACCUGGGACAUCAGUGAAGAUCUCCUGUAAGGUUUCCGGAUACACCUUCACAGACUACGUGAUGCACUGGAUGCGACAGGACCUGGAACAAGAGCUUGAGUGGUUAGGAGAAGUAUACCCUAAAACUGGUGAUACAAACUACUCACCAAAGUUCCAGGGCAGAAUCACAUUCACUGCAGACAAGUCCAAGAAUACAGCCUACCUGGAACUGAGCAGGCUGAGCACUGAGGACAGGGCCGUGUAUUAUUGUGUGAGAGACACAGUGUGA